rnacentral:rRNA from 1 species
UACGGAAGGCAGCAGUGGGGAAUAUUGCACAAUGGGCGCAAGCCUGAUGCAGCCAUGCCGCGUGUAUGAAGAAGGCCUUCGGGUUGUAAAGUACUUUCAGUCGUGAGGAAGGUGUUAAGGUUAAUAACCUUAGCAAUUGACGUUAGCGACAGAAGAAGCACCGGCUAACUCCGUGCCAGCAGCCGCGGUAAUACGGAGGGUGCGAGCGUUAAUCGGAAUUACUGGGCGUAAGGGCACGCAGGCGGUUAAUUAAGUUGGAUGUGAAAUCCCCGGGCUUAACCUGGGAAUGGCAUUCAAGACUGGUUAGCUAGAGUCUUGUAGAGGGGGUAGAAUUCCAUGUGUAGCGGUGAAAUGCGUAGAGAUGUGGAGGAAUACCGGGUGGCGAAGGCGGCCCCUGGGACAAAGACUGACGCUCAUGUGCGAAAGCGUGGGGAGCAAACAGGGAUUAGAUACC